rnacentral:lncRNA from 1 species
GUUCUAGUUGGUCUGCAUCCUUAGUCAUAGUUCAUUGCCAAAUAAUAAAAAGCACUUGUUUUGCGUUUGCAAGCUAGACAAAACAAAUGCUGCCGCUUUAAGUAUAAGAAAUUUAUUUUUCGACACAAUCUUCCACAGGGUUGUAAAAAUUUAUUUGCAAUUAAUCGCCAAUCAUCUGUCGACUAUGAUUUGCUAUUUGCA